GCCCUGUGGUUACUGGAUGCUGUUGUUCACGUACAGCUCUCCAGUUGAUAGAAGGGGCCAGAACAAUUCUGUGAUUUAUGCAUGGAUACUGUCUUUCCUCAGCAGUCUCCAUAGCCCGGUCACUGAUACAUGG